UACAGAGGUCCCAAGCGUUGUUCGGAUUCCCUGGGCGUAAAGGGUGCGUAGGUGGUGAGGUAAGUCGGAUGUGAAAUCUCCGAGCUCAACUCGGAAAUGGCAUUGGAAACUACCUUGCUUGAGGGUUGGAGGGGGGACUGGAAUACUUGGUGUAGCAGUGAAAUGCGUAGAUAUCAAGUGGAACACCAGUGGCGAAGGCGAGUCCCUGGACAACUCCUGACACUGAGGCACGAAAGCUAGGGGAGCAAACAGG
rnacentral:rRNA from 1 species